AGCCCAGAGGGAAGGAGCCCAGAGGAAACACUGCACUUUGGAGUCCAGAGGAAAGAUGAGUAAUAGCCAAUUCCAAAACAAACCAACCAAUCAGCAGAAAAUCAGAAUGUUGAAAGUGACAUAUUCCAACUGAUGACAAAAGCCUGCAGGAUCAGAAACUUUUGGUCCCAUGUGCAAUAUGCAGUGUUCAUGGCUUCCUACCUGGAGAAAGUUAAGUUUUAUUGUGUUCAAGGAGGUUGAGAGUAUAUAUUUGAUGUCCCAAGAUUGAGGAAGUGGUCCAGCAGGAAGACUGCAUUGAGUUACCAACUUGGGUGAAAAAGAUCAAGGUGAAGAUUUUAUUCCACAAAGUAUAAGGGGCCAGUAGGUCUUUACAGAAUAGAUAGGCUCAGGCCCAAGUAUGGUGGAUUAAGACUGACCUGAGAGAACACGAUAUCAGCACAUCCAUUGAUGGGAAGGAAGGACGUUGACCCAAUAGGCCAUUGGCUUUGUGGAACAACAGUCUUGAAAACCCUUGGAGAAGAUAGGUGCAGCCAACUCUGGAGGACUGCCUGAAAGGGAGCAGAGCCUGUAGAGGAGGCAUGGAGCCUCUGGAUGAAGGGCCGGUGCAACAUUCAGAGUUCAGUAUUGAUCGUGUUUGUGAUUUAAACACUCAGAGACCAAGGAAUUGACCACUUUGAUGUGGAUUGAUGGUUUCCUGAUGCUUUAUGACAGGUGUGGCCCAGGGACCUCUCCCCCAAGCCUGGGAGAAUCAUCCUCUGCUGUUAAACAGCUCAAUCAUUUCUCAUCCCUGGCAUCCUCACUGGUCCAUUGGCUCCUCCCUUCCUCCCCUCUUACCUACAAGUGCUGACCCUUCCUGGGCUGCUGCCAAACAUGACCCUGGAUACUGUGAGUCUCAGGCUGCUGGGCUACCAGGAUCAGAAUCAAGAAGGGAAAAGGAUCAAAAUUUAUAGAGUAUCUUUUAGAGUACUAGCAUGGUCAUUUCAUUACCAACUUUGCAAAAUAGGUAUCAUUGAUCCCAUUUUAUAGACGAAUAAGUUGAGUCUGAUGGAUAACUUGCUAUGUGAGGGACCCAAGCCUGCUAAUUCUACACUUUUGCACACUCUCACUUUAUUGCCUACAGAAGAGCUCAGAAGGAGAGGGAGGGAGAGGGGGACGGGAAGUAGAACUGUCCCUGGGGUAGAAAUAAAUUGGAGUGCUGGACAUGUGCAUUAGGAGCCUACUAGGCUGUAUUGCAGAUGACUCAGUAUGCAAUGGGCAGGAAGGAGGGGUGAAGAGAGGAGUAGGCAGUUUUCUCCAAAGCUGCUUUACAACAACAUCCCUGAGUGUGAACAUAAGUGAGUCUACAUGUCUAUCUCUGCCUCUUCUACACAUACCUUUGCAGGUUGCUGUGUGGAGUUUUUUGGUGCCUUCUUUUCUAAUUUAACUUGAUUUCCUUGAGGAUGGCAGAGCUGGACAUGUUCAGGAAACCUCAGAAAAAGAGCUGUAUGUCACUAAGUCAGGAAGAGGGCCCAGAGGUCAGGGUUUCUCAUCUGGGGCCAUCAAUACCGGCCUCCUUCUAGCUCUGUCAGACACUUGGCCCCUUCUGGGUACUCUGGCAGAGUUUGGUACCAUUCUCUCACACUGAAGAGAGACCCUCAUAGGUAGAGGCAUUGCAAGCUGCAGGCUGUGGCUCACAUUGCAAUGUAGCUGUAUCAGCCAUGAUUUUUAGUUACAGGCAUCAGCCAACUCUGGCUGACUGAAGCCGAAGAGAGUUUGAUGCAAAGAACACUGGGUGGCUGGAGAAUCAGUAGGAAUGCUGACAGUAAGGCUGGAGAAUAAGCAGCCUGGAGCAGCACCGAGAAUCACAUGGUGGAAGGAGUCUGGAGAAACUUCUACUGCUUCAGCCAUUGAAUGUUGGGCACUAUCAUUGGCAUCACAGUCACCUCUGUGCACAAACUUGAACCUGCAGUAGGGAGAGAGAGAACUCCACCCUUCCUGUGUCUAGCUCCAGAGUCAAAACCCAGGGUGGCACAUGGUGGAUGGAUCCUGUGUACAGCCUGUGCCUGGCUGCAAAGGCUGCUGGGAAAGCCAGUUGCUGCAUUUUUGGCAUCUACAGUGGGAAGCAGCCACUGAAGACAAUGAAGACUCAUGAAGUGGGAACUUCUCAAUGAAAAAGGAGUUCAAAUAUUGGGUGGCCAAAUAAAAUGAUAAAUAUUCACUAUCAUUGCCUUAGUUGAGAAUCGAGAAGCUGGGGGCAGUGUGAGGGUACUGAUGGCAACAUUCUCUAACAGGUAUUGAGUGAUUAUUCUCUGGGCUAACUAUUCUAAAUGCAGUAUCUCAUUUAAUCCUUCCGACAAAUCUCCCAGGCAAUUACUAAUAUUGUACCUAUUUUCCAAAGGAGACAACUGGAUUGUAGACAUGACUGUGGCACAUACCUAGUAGGUGUCUGAGCUGAGGUUCUGGCGUAGGCAGUCUGUCUUCUGAGACUGUGCUCACAUUUUCAUGAUUGAGGGCUGGUGAGGAACUCUAGGGGUAUUUCUUUAAGUUAAAGCAUUAAAACCAGCUGUCCCUAGUGCUCAUCAUUCCAAUUAUGCCACAUUAACUCCAGUCUUUUAAAAAUCCCGUCUCAAGGUACUUCUAGGAGUCUCCAAGAUGGCUUGUGUGAACACGUGUCAGACCAGGUUAUUGGAGGCCACCGUGCUGUCACCUUCCUCUGCCAAGUCCAGGCCCACUGUGGGGACCGCUGUCCAGGCUUAGAAACUCCGGUAUGAACACUGGUGGGCGGGCACUCUCCCGUAGCUGCCCUUGGCCACAAUGGAGAUCUCCCCUGGCCCUCUCCCAGACUGAGUCACCUGUACUACACAGUUUGCCCUGUUUGACACAACUGCCAGCCAAACCUGAGAUCCUCCUGGGUCACUGGCCAUGCCCAGGAGAGGCCUCGAGGAGCCAAUCUUUGCAGCCCAGCCACAGAUGCUCUUGGCCAUCAAGGAGCUUUACUGAGCCCUGUCAGGGGACAGGAGGAUUCACUUCCCUCAGCUCCCCUCUGUGAGACACCUAUAGUAAGGCUACAGAUUUCAAAGGGACGCCAAAUUUGGUUGUUUCCACCAGCGAAACCCAUUUUUGCCCUAGGGCCCACAUAGAUCAUCAGCAUAGUGAUGUCAGCAGCACCCUUCAGGCCCAGGGGCAGAAAACUGCUGGUUGUGACAUCCUUCCUCUUCUCCUCCCCUUUAAAGACCCUGCCUUCCUUUUUCAUAAUUGGCUCAAAUCACUCUCCUCCCACUCUGAUCUCACAUUCAUUAAUUCAUCUGGUCAACAUCAAAUAUUCAUUAUGCACCAAUUAUCUGUAAAACGGGGAUAGGAAUAAUGAUAUUUCAUUGUCUUGGUUUCGGUCUUCGUGCAAGCAGACUUGAGACAAGGGCUUGGUUGCAGGCUUUUUAUUCGGGAGGUGAUCCCAGGAAGCAGGAGUGAGGGAGCAGGAAGAUUGAGCAGGGAAGGAGGAAAACAGUAACCUAAGGGUGUGCUAUUGGUUACUGCUGCUGGCAGUGGGAGCCCAAGUGCAUUGGCACAUCUGAGAAGCACACAGAAGCAUCCCAGGAUUGUCCUCCUGAAGGAAGGGAGGCAAGAGCAUUUAUCCAUAGCUCCUAGCCCCCUUGGUAGAUAGUUGCCUUGGGACAGGGAGUGAGAGGUUGGGGGUUACCUGCCCUGACCUUUAGAGGGCUGAGCUGAUUUCUGCAGCUUUAGCAAGUCUUUAAGGCAGAGAGGAGCAAGCCAUGGGCACAUGCCUAAGUGGCACUGUCCAAGGAAGAAGCUCCUCCUUGCAGUUGGACUGAAGUCAAGAGUGGGAUGAGGGGCCGUGAUACAGCACGGAAAACAUACACUACACUUUCUCAUGAAGUAGUUACCAUUAACUGAGUUAAUUUAUGUAAAACACCUAGAACAAUACCUGCCCCCAAUAAGGCUAUAUGUGUGUGUUUGCUGCUAUUAUUUGUGUGACUAUUACAUGUGCCUGGUGCUUCUCCAGGCUCUGUAGGUAACACUCUCAUGAGACUUACUUUCAGCUCACAAAACAUGCCUUGUUUAUGUGUCAAAGCUCUGAUUCUUGAUACUGUCCAAGUUCUUUUGCCAGGAGAUUCUCAGCCCCCAUGUUUGGGGAUGGCCAGGGGACAUGGCCCCACUUGACUGCCUGCCUUGCCAGUAUCUCUGAUCCAUUUUGGAGGCCUGCCCUGCCAUGCUCUGCUUCCCAGGAUCCUGAACAAGGAUUUGAGAACUAAGGUUUGAAUUCUGCAUAUGAAACAGUCAAACUCAAGUUGUCCAUCUGCUGGGAAAAGAAAAUAGCUUCAGAGCAAAGUCACUUGCCUUUUAAUAAUUGAUGGAUAAAAGAUUGCAGCAUGUGCAAAAACACACUUUCCAGAUCUGCCACUAAGAACGGUUCGGGCAGAAGAAACUGCUCUUUCCAUUGCCCCAGAGGCCAGGCCUGCCCUCAGCUAAUCUGGUGACCUAAUCCUUUCACAUGGGGGAGGACCAGAGCAUUUGCAUACAAGCAAUGAAUGCAUCUUUCCACCAGAGGCUUCCAGAGGCAAGUCCAAUCUAGUUAGUGCUUAUCUGUCCAAGCUGGCUGACCUUCUCCCAGUGCACAGUCCAGUCCCAAGUCCUCCCACCCCUGCCUUGUUCCCAGAACGAGUCUUGACUAUUCUAGCCUCAUACCUCGUCCCUAAGUUGCAACACUUGAUAUGGCUCCUUGAGGACUGCCUUGGCCAUCUCCUUGUUGCCGCUCCCACUGACUGCUUGGGUUUCAGCAGUUCACGGCUUCACGAGGCAACCCCUCCCUCUUGGUUCUAUGAUAACAUAACCGGUCACAGGCCUUUUGCCCAGCCCAGGCACUGAGGGACUGGGACCUGCCCUGGCCCCAUCUUGGCUUUCACAAAUGGGAGCUGGUGAGGUCUCACCCAGGUGAAACCCGGAAUUCACUUUCCUUUCAAAUGUUAAUAUGUUGCUGUGAAAACAUGCCUUUAUCAGUCCAGAAUCCUGUGUCUGUAAUCUCAAUAUCUAAAAGCUCUGAAAGCCAAAAGUUGGUUAUAAUCUGCAUGGUAGCAAAAUCUAACAGGGUUAAUUUCAUUUUCCAGAAUUAUCUGACCUGCACUAAGUGGAGGCUAUCUAUUGCCUUUAUUGAUCUCAUUUGGUGUGAAUACGCAUACAUGCUGCUGGAGAAAUAUUAAUGUCAUUGAUUACGAGGUGUCCCAGAGCUCACUGGGGUGUUGAUGUAUGAAGUGGUAUGUGCACCAAACUGCCUUUCUAAAAUACAUUCUGAAUUCUGAAACAUACCUGGCCCCAAGAUUUUGGAUGAGGAAUUUAGGCCUGUAUUAAAAUUAACCCAGGGAGGGUUAGGGCCUGGGAGAAGUGACCAUGAGUGGCCAUUGUUAUCUAAAGCUAAUGCAGGGAGCCAGGGGCAGCAGUGGCCUGAGUUAAAUAUCACUGGAUCCUUUAGUAUAAUUACAGAGUCAGGACUUAAGGAGAGUCAUUGACAUCCCUUUCAUCAAAAAGAAAAGAAAGAAUUGCUCCCUGUAAUCCAUACCCAUUAAUUCAGCAUCUCCCCUAGAUAGCUGAAACCCCUUCAGAAAGACUGGAAUAUUUUCUAGAUAAUAAAUCUGGGUCUUUAUCUUUCCCUUUUCUUCUUUCCCCUCUUCCCUUUGCCCCAUCCCUGAACUUCCCCCUCUUCUUGUGUUUUUGUCCAUAAAAGAGCAGCUUCUGUCAUUCAUGUGACAAUGAGCCUCCUUAGGUAAUUAAAGGGGAGUCUGCAGCCUGAACUACAAGUGAGAGGUCAUCUUUUUCAGCUUAUAGUCCUACCUCUACUGGGAGUGUGAUUCUGGGGACAAGAAGGAAGAAACGGUGCCAAAGCGCAUGGAUGGCCAAUUGUGCGCCUGGCUCUUCCAUGUGGAGUAGGCAGUGGGGCUGCUUGGAGCACACUUAGUGUUUGCCCUCCAGAUUUUUCCAGUCUCCUCAUAGAUGACCCAUGCCUGAUCUAGAAUAGGGAGGCAGGGUUUUAGAUUUAACUAGAAGUCUUCAUUUGUAUUCUUCCCAGAAGCAGACCCUGAGAUGAGGGUUCUGGGAAAUAAGGAGAACAGCAGUUGGGAAGAGGAGAACAAAGCCAGGGGAUGACUAGAGCUUAAUCCUUUGGGGAAACUCUGGGUAACAGCACAGAACACACCUCAGAGUUAUCUUCCUAAGGUGCCAGAUGAGGGAGUUGAGGUAUUUAUACACCCUCUCCUGAGACUCAUGGGUUGAGGGCUGCUGGAGGCUGCGAUGACAAUGCCCUGACACAUGGGCCUGCUUCCUGGGGGCAAAAGCCUCAGGCACAGACAUACAUACACUGGGGUUUGAAGUUGAUUGUUACAUACUGUAAUAGUAACAUCCAAGCAAUACUAGCAGGGCACUGACAGCAUCUAAUACAGUUUUUUUUUUUUUCACUAAAAUGCAAAGGAAUGUUUGCAUUUCUUUAUCAGAAGAAGGAAAAGAAUGCCAGUCUUCCCAUUUUGAUGGUUGUGCCCACAAGAACCAGCAGAGCCUGGAAGGACAAUAUGCUUGGUAGUGGGAUCAUUUGGGGCUAGUGAGGGGGCAGGGUCUCGGGAAAAAGGGCACGGUGCCUGGUGAAGGGAGUCAUUCUGGGGGUGCUGCAGUGAUGAUGCUAGUGGCAGCUGUGCCCUUGGCAAUGGGAGUGGGGGUCUGCUACUGCAGUGAACCCUGAAAGCAGUAGGGAGGUGCUUCUUUAUAUCCCUUAGAGACUUCAGCAAAAAAUAUCCUUGAAUAAGGCUAGGGUAGGCAAGGGAAAAAUGGCAGGCACAGCAGUGGACUCAGCUUGAUUGUGAAGCCCUUUCUUAGGCUCUGUAUGGGGCUGGAAAUACCACAUGUGUCCUGUUUGGUGGGGAGGGGUCCUGUUGGGUGGAUAAGUGAUGCUCAGAGCAUUUCUAGGGCAGGAGUUGUCAAACUUUUUCCUGCUAAAUAUUAUAGGCUUUAGGGGUACUACUGUCUCUGUUGUAACUACUCAGCUUCCCUAUUGUAUAUCAAGAAAUGGUCACAGACAAUAUGUAAGGAAUGCGUAUGGCUGUGUUCCAUCACAACUUUAUUUAUGGAUGCUGAAAUCAGAAUUUUAUAUAAUUUUCAUGUGUCACAAAUUUUUUUUUCUGAUUUUGUCCAUUCAUUAAAAAAUGCAAAACCUAUUUUUACCUUGUGAGCCACACUGAAACAGGCUGUAGGCUGAAUUGGGCCCGUGAACUGUAUUUGCAGACCCUUGUUCUAGGGCUUCUCUCUGACUUGGGCUCCAGGGUUAAGGGCAGAUUUCCAACCGAUUCUUGACAGCGUAGGAGGGGCAAACCUCCUCCUCACUCCAGUGAGAUAAGUGACUCAUCCAAUAAUGGCAAAGACUCAAAAGCAAGGAGAUAGAACCUCAUGUAUGCGUGGACAUUUAACUGGCUCCGGUGAAGGCUUGAAGCCCUAUUUGCUAAGCUUCUGCUCAUUUGCUGCUCCAGAAAGUGACAGCCUGCAUGACCAGUCCACAGCCUGUUACUUUGGGGAUUUUACAGGGUUCAUAGAGUAAAGAGGAGACUUUGGGUAAAUACAGAUCAAAUAUUUGGGUGACACUGGUAGAGUGAAAAGGUAGACUUUUAAGCCACAUCGCCUUGCACGCAGCUUCCAGCUCUGCCAUUUACAGCCUAGUAAUCUGAAUCAAGACACUUAAUUACUCUGGGUCUCAGUUUCCUCAUCCAUAAAAUGAGGAGCAAUAAUAACCCCCCUUUUAGGCUUAUUAUGAGGAUAAAGUAAGACAAUACGUGAAAUGACCUUGGAUCAAGCUCAGCUUGGCAUCUCAUCUUUACUUAAUGGAUGGUUUUAAAAUUAUUUUUAAUGCCAACUUCACAAAGUUGUGAUAGAAAUUAAAUGAGAUAAAUGUGUAAAGGGCUCAGGGACAUAGUAUGUGUUAAGAAAAUUAUUGCUACUAUUAAAAAUAUGAUGGAGAAAAAAAGGUUAGGUAUUUCUCCAUCUUCUCUUUGGGAUGAUGGCUCUCAAGAGGUGGGAAGAGGAGGACAAUGGCACCUGCAUAAUUUUGAUUGCAGGAUAUUUGUAUUCUUUCCCUUUCUGAAGUUCCUGAAUAGCAAAUGUUUUUGACAGCAAUUGGGUCUGGAUGCCACGUUUUGAAGCCCAACUAACAAACAAGAGAUUAUGAGACUGCAGUUAUCUUUUACCAGCUGCGUGGAAAAAUCCUGUCAUUUGGCAUCACACAACUAUGAAUUCUUUUAUCUCUUUCUCCCUUCUUAUGUGCUCCUGGAGCAUAUGUAAGCAAGCUCUGACAUUGAUAACACAUUCUUAUUAACCAUUAUCUGAAAGAUGGGAUGCCAACUUAGGAGUUUUGCAUUGCAUAUCAGAUGGAAAUUUCCAUUGGGGAAUGGAAUGUUAUCCACUCCUGGCCAAUGACAUCCCAAGGCUGAAGUUACCUUCUACAUACACCAUAGUCUGAGGUCAUGAAUUGGCUAGAUUUCUGCCCAAAUCUUUGCCUACUCCUUCAGAAGGAAAUGGAAUAUGAGGCAACUAUGGGCACUUAGAGGGAACAGAAAGUUGAUUUUCUGUCAUAUAAACGUUAGCUUCUUAGGCAGUGUAGAUGGAGCAGGUGACUGGAGCCAGAGGGAUGGGGUUGUGCUUGUAGAAAGGCCAAAUGAACAGGCUGAGUGGAGACCCUGUGGGGGCCCCUGAGAUGCACCCUUUAAUAUUCAUCCCACUCCAUGUGGUCAGUCUAAGCACAUCAUGUAAUUCCCAUUUUCCUUGACAGAAAUUGGUUAAGUAAAGGGCAUGUUAUCCACUCCUGGCCAAUGAGAUGAGGAAAAGCCUACAGUACGUGUGUGUGUGUUGGUUGGGGGGCAGUCUGGGGAAAGUUUAUCUUCUGUGAAGAAGGAACUCAGAGAGAGAGUGCCUUUUCGCCCUGUGGACUUUGCCAUGAGCGCCUGGUGCUAAGGUGUCAUCCUGCUAUCAUCCCUCUGAGAGACCAGCAUCAAGUAUUCCUGAAAGGCAAGAGGGAUGGUUCCUGGAUCCCUAAGGACAGCAUUGCCUGGCAGCUGAUCUCUACUUGCCUUCAAAUUAUAAUAUCUCUGUGCUUGCUCAUUGUUGAAGUCAGUUUGAGUUGGAACUCUGUUCCUUGUAACCAGAAGGAUCCUAUCUGGGGGCCACAUUUUUGACAUUGGAAUAUCACCAAGGUGAGAAAUAAGGGAAGGGUGUGCACUAGGCAUUUAGAAGAGGGGAGCGGCUGGGCACUUUUAAUGGGUUAGUGUGAAACAUACCUUGUACUCUAUCUGGAGCAUCCUAUAUUAAUUAACUAACUUAUUAAUGAGCCUGUAUAAGGCACCUACUACAUGGUCAGCAUAGGGACAGGUCUUUCUGAGAAUAAAAGAGUCAUAUAAAACAUCAUUCUAGUUGUCAAGCAUCAUAAAAUUUAGUUGGUGGAGACAAGACUAGAAAUAAAACAAAAUAAGUGGUUUAGAGAAGGGCGUGAUGAGUGAGUGCUAGAGUAGGUAAAAGCUUCGUGGGAGAUGGAGAAAGCUAAGCUGGGCCUUAAUCAGCAGAAAGAAUAAAGGUGAGGACAUAGAGACGUUAAGUCACAUGCUCCAACACAGCCAGAAAGUGGCAGAGCUGGGGUUCAAACCCAGUAUGUCUGACUCCUUCCAACCCUGGGCAUGUAACUACUAUGCUGGAGCAUACUUAUGCUCCCAAUGUGUAUUUGUAAGCCUGGAAUGCUCAUAUAUUAAUUUAUAAUGAGAAAUAGAACUGGAAAACAUUAUGAAUUCAAAAUCUGUGAAGCCAAGUUAUAUUCAGAAGGUUCCCAAGGCAGCUUGAAGCUGAUUAACAGACAGGAUAUCCCUGACACCAGGAUGGAGGCAUGUGUCUUGAAGGGCUAGUCCUUCUCUUCCUGGCUAGGUACUGGUAAGAGAAUGGCCAGUUUUGGAGUCUUGGGGCUCCCAUUUAAAUGCUCCAGGCUGUUCCUAAAGUCCUUCUUCAGUCAUGGUGUAAGUCAACUGGUCAGGCCUCUAGGUGUUCAUUAUGUUCACAUUUAAUUCAGUGGUGUACUAGCAAGUGUUUAACAAAUGGCUCUCUGGGGCACUGGGGGAAGCCCUAAUUUGUAACAUUCACCAAGUCAAGUUCCAUGGUGUAAAUACUCCCUCCAAGACUAUUUCAAGCUACCAGCAGGAAGAGAUGCACACAAUCAAUGGCUCUUGAGUGCUGGUACCGGCAGGCUCCAGCACACCACUGUGCUCACAUUGCAUCCUGCCUCUCAGAGCCUUCCCAGAUGCCUUGAUGGGAAUUAUGGAAUGUUCUCAGACUUUUGUAGAACAUUUACCAAAUUAGUCACAGCCAUGUGUGUGAACUUUUUCAGUUUAAUUAUUGGAAAAUGGCCUCACUUCCAAAUUCUUGGAGAACACUGUUUUUACCUUCAUGUACCGUCAACUAAUAGAGCUGUAAGGUGGCCAAAGAAACCAAAGAUGGAUUUCCUUUCUGUAUUGCCUAAAGUCCAGAGUUCUGUUAAAAAUUACUGUCAAGAGUGAGGCUUGGGGUCUGUGCUGCACUGAGUAAUACCAUGGGUAGCAAUAGAUAAAUUGGCACAGAAGAAUCUUCUACAGCACCACCGCCAUUCACCCCCUGCCUCACUUUGCUGUCUUACCCAACAUUACAUGACAGAAAAAAGAAAUUGUGUUGCCUAGUAACAGCUCUGAGCAAGGGGAGACCAGUCAAUACAAUUCUGAAUUAAGGCAACAUCCACAAAAAAAUCCAUCUUGAGGAUUUAUACGAAAACCAAAGUGUAGUUAUAGUCUUACAAGCUGGUGGAGAAGUCCCAUUAGCUUUGGGUAUUGGAUUAUUUAGAAUAAUAUAUCUGAGAUAUAGAUUUCUUUUUCUGGGAAGAAUAAUCUACUCUGAGGCCAUGAAAAUCAAUAGGCCACUUUGAAGACUGACUUCAGCUGUUAUUGGUAAUGUUUUGGUUGUGUUUGUGAAUCAACAAUCAAGCAAAAAUAAGGCCAUUUAGUAGCUCACACUAAAGAGCACUACUUGUCAAUUUUGCAACGAAGCCUCUCCAUCCAUUGAAUGAAACAGCAUCUCCCAAGGGCUGCUGUGAGCCUAUGGAGACCCUGAAAGCUGACACCAGCACAAAGAAUUAAGGAUAAGUCUUCCAGGGUGGCCAGUCAUCCCAGCAUAUUGAGACUGAGGAGUUUCCCAGGAUGCUGGACUUUUAAUGCUAAAACUAGGAAACUCCUUGGCAAACUGGGACAGUUGGUCGCCCUGGAUCAGUGGUUCUCAACUGCAGAUGAUUUUGCCCCUCAGGUAGGGUUGCCAGAUAAAACAGAAGAUACUCUGUUAAGUUUGAUUUUCAGAUAGACAAUGAAUAAUUUUUCAGUAUAAGUAUGUCCCAACUACUACAAUGGGACACAUUUAGAGUUAAAAAGAAUUAUUCUUUGCUUGUCUAAAAUUCGAAUUUAACUAGGCUUUUAACAUUUUUUAAAAAAUUUUUUUUGUAAAACUGACAGUCUUACCCCCAGGAGAUAGUUGGUAAUGAUUGGAAGCCUCUUCGGUUUUCACAACCACAACUUCAUCAGGGAUGCUACUAGCAUCUAGUGAGUAGAGGCCAGGCAUGCUGCUAAACUUCCUAUAAGGCACCAAUGCAGACAACAGCUGCCUAAAACAAAGAAUUAUCUGGCCUGAAAUGUCAGUGGUGCAGAGGUUGGGAAAUCCUGCCGUAGACCUAAACAAGCUGGUGCCACGGAGCUCCAUCUUCCUUGAGAAAACACUAAAGGAUGGACGUGGGCUUCCCUGCUUCAUGCACACAGAUGGAAAAAUGUCACAUACAUUCCUGACCUUUAACACUUUCAGUCUGAUGCGUCAAACAGCCAUUGGGAGCUUAAGAAGUGUCUAGCAAAAUGGGACAAUUCCCCUUGCCGGACUCCCCCUUCCACACUUGGAAGGGUGAGGCAGUGUGUGUCAUCAAACAAUAGAGCAGAUAAAAGCUGAAUCAGGGUGGUCUCCAGGACACCCCCAUCUCCCCAGACUUCUAUGGUGACAUUUCUUGCACUCCUCAAGUUUGUUCAUGGCUUUGAAAACACAGUUUCAGAAUGUCUUCAUUGUUUCAUACGGUACUGGCCGCGCCUGGAGUUUUCCUGAAGGAAACUGUAGCAGCAGGAAUUUUGUGCAAUACUAUAAUAAGGGGGCUUUAUCCUUCCAAAAAUACAUCCUUUCUCCUUGUUGCCAGCUCUCCCACAGCCCUGUGAAAAAUGUAGCUCAGAAGUUACUGAGGCGUUUUUCUGUUUUUCCUUUCUCACUUUAGUUCAUAUCAAGCAACAGAAAGCAAUUCUAUUAUUCACACUUAGGCGUGCUAGCUUGAAUGAAUGAACAAAUCAAAUAUCAAUCCUUUUCUCAUUUCCCUAGUGUGUAAGAACUGAAAUGUAGAAAGUGGCAUCUGCUUAAAAGGAAUUGGUGAAUUUGACUUCUCUAGGUACCUUAUCCAAGUGGAAUGAGUGUUUAAUGGGCACAGAGUUUCAGUUGGGAAGAUCGAAACGUUCUGGUAGAUGGAUGUUGGUGAUGGUUGCACAACUAUGUGAUUAUACUUAAUGUCAUGGAACUGUACACUUAAAAAUGGUUAAAAUAGUAGAUUUUAUGUUAUGUAUAUUUAAUCACAGUUUAAAGAAAGGAAUUGGUGAUGCAUGUCUAUGCAUGUAAGUUUUGAUAUAUGCUUGCUGAUUGAUUAUUUAUCUAAGGUCUGUUUACAUAUUUUCCCCCAGUAAACUUGGUACUUGCCUCAUUGUCCUGUAUCCUUAUCCUUAAAUUAAUUGGACAAUGCCUCUUUCUUCUUCUCCCUCUUCUUAACUCCAGCAGUCACAUGAAGAUAGAAAUAUAUUUUGUCUUUGGAAGUUACUCUUUUUUAAUUUUUUAAUUUUUGUGGGUACAUACAUAGUAGGUGUAUAUAUCUAUGGGGUACAUAAAAUGCUUUGAAAUAGGUAUGCAAUGCAUAAUAAUUACAUCAUGGAAAAUGGGGUAUCCAUCCCCUCAAAUAUUUAUGUUUCAUGUUAUAAUCCAAUUAUACUCUGGAGUAUACGCUGAGUACUCCAAAUGUACUCAAUAGUACAAUUAAAUUACUACUGACUAUAAUCACCCUGUUGUACUACAAAAUACUAGGUCUUAUGCAUUAUUUCUAACUAAUGUUUUUGUACUCAUUUACCAUUCCCCCUCCCCUUCACAGUCCCCCAUUACCCUUCUCAGCCU
rnacentral:lncRNA from 1 species